GUUUGACCUCGGAUCAGGUAGGGAUACCCGCUGAACUUAAGCAUAUCAAUAAGCGGAGGAAAAGAAACCAACAGGGAUUGCCUCAGUAACGGCGAGUGAAGCGGCAACAGCUCAAAUUUGAAAUCUGGCUCCUUCGGGGUCCGAGUUGUAAUUUGUAGAGGGUGUUUCGGGUGCGAUGCCGGUCUAAGUUCCUUGGAACAGGACGUCGUAGAGGGUGAGAAUCCCGUAUGCGACCGGCGAUCAAGCCCGUGCGAAGCCCCUUCGACGAGUCGAGUUGUUUGGGAAUGCAGCUCAAAAUGGGUGGUAAAUUUCAUCUAAAGCUAAAUACUGGCCAGAGACCGAUAGCGGACAAGUAGAGUGAUCGAAAGAUGAAAAGCACUUUGGAAAGAGAGUCAAACAGUACGUGAAAUUGUUGAAAGGGAAGCGCUUGCAAUCAGACCGGUCCGGAGGCGAUCAGCCGCUGCUCGUCAGCGGUGCACUCGCCUGCGAUCCGGCCAGCAUCGGUUUGGGCGGCGGGAUAAAAGUCCCGGGAAUGUAGCUUCCUCCGGGGAGUCUUAUAGCCCGGGUCGCAAUGCCGCCCGCCCGGACCGAGGACCGCGCUUCGGCUAGGAUGCUGGCGUAAUGGUUGCAAGCGACCCGUCUUGAAACACGGACCAAGGAGUCUAACAUCUAUGCGAGUGUUUGGGUGUCAAACCCAGGCGCGGAAUGAAAGUGAACGGAGGUGGGAACCCGUCAGACGGCGCACCAUCGACCGAUCCAGAUGUCUUCGGAUGGAUUUGAGUAUGAGCAUAGCUGUUGGGACCCGAAAGAUGGUGAACUAUGCCCGGAUAGGGUGAAGCCAGAGGAAACUCUGGUGGAGGCUCGCAGCGGUUCUGACGUGCAAAUCGAUCGUCAAAUCUAGGCAUAGGGGCGAAAGACCAAUCGAACC
rnacentral:rRNA from 1 species